GAUGAACGCUAGCUGGAGGCUUAAUACAUGCAAGUCGAACGGCAAGUUGGGUAGCAAUACUUGACCUAGAGUGACGUACGGGUGCGUAACACGUAUGCAACCUACCCAGAACAGGAGUAUAGCUCGGGGAAACUCGAAUUAACCCUCCAUGAGAUAGUAGUGAGGCAUCUCACAGUUAAUUAAAACUCGAGGGUUGGUUU
rnacentral:rRNA from 1 species